GUGGAGGACAGGCCAGCAACCACCAACAGGGAAGUCUUGCAGCAGGUAGCAGGUGGCUUUGAGGCCAGAAUUGGGUUUUGGUGCCCCCUGUUGCUGGGCAGAACUCUUCCUCUAGACUGUAAACAUUCUGCCAUUAUUGCAUCAAUUCAUACAGAACCAUCAUUACCUGCUUAUAGGACCAGCUGUCCUACAAAACUAAUGUGCCCCAUAAGGACAGGGAACAGGUUCAAUUCUCCUACCUUACAUGGUGCCCUUAGCACCCAGGACCAAGUGCUCAUGAAAACCCUUCCCUGA
rnacentral:lncRNA from 1 species